rnacentral:rRNA from 1 species
UUACACAUGCAAGUCGAGGGGUAUAGUUCUUCGGAACUAGAGACCGGCGCACGGGUGCUUAACGCGUAUGCAAUCUACCUUUCACAAAGGGAUAGCCCAGAGAAAUUUGGAUUAAUACCUUAUAGUAUAACGACUUCGCAUGGAGAUGUUAUUAAAGAUUUAUCGGUGAAAGAUGAGCAUGCGUCCCAUUAGCUAGUUGGUAAGGUAACGGCUUACCAAGGCUACGAUGGGUAGGGGUCCUGAGAGGGAGAUCCCCCACACUGGUACUGAGACACGGACCAGACUCCUACGGGAGGCAGCAGUGAGGAAUAUUGGUCAAUGGGCGCAAGCCUGAACCAGCCAUGCCGCGUGCAGGAUGACGGUCCUAUGGAUUGUAAACUGCUUUUGUACAGGAAGAAACACUCCCUCGUGAGGGAGCUUGACGGUACUGUAAGAAUAAGGAUCGGCUAACUCCGUGCCAGCAGCCGCGGUAAUACGGAGGAUCCAAGCGUUAUCCGGAAUCAUUGGGUUUAAAGGGUCCGUAGGCGGCUUAAUAAGUCAGUGGUGAAAGCCCUACGCUUAACGUAGGAACGGCCAUUGAUACUGUUAGGCUUGAAUUAUUAGGAAGUAACUAGAAUAUGUAGUGUAGCGGUGAAAUGCUUAGAGAUUACAUGGAAUACCAAUUGCGAAGGCAGGUUACUACUAAUGGAUUGACGCUGAUGGACGAAAGCGUGGGUAGCGAACAGGAUUAGAUACCCUGGUAGUCCACGCCGUAAACGAUGGAUACUAGCUGUUGGGAGCAAUUUCAGUGGCUAAGCGAAAGUGAUAAGUAUCCCACCUGGGGAGUACGAACGCAAGUUUGAAACUCAAAGGAAUUGACGGGGGCCUGCACUAGCGGUGGAGCAUGUGGUUUAAUUCGAUGAUACGCGAGGAACCCUUACAAGGCUUAAAUGUAGUUUGAC